AACUUUUAGCAACGGAUCUCUUGGUUCUGGCAUCGAUGAAGAACGCAGCGAAAUGCGAUAAGUAAUGUGAAUUGCAGAAUGCAGUGAAUCAUCGAAUCUUUGAACGCACAUUGCACCCUCUGGCAUUCCGGCGGGUAUGCCUGUUCGAGCGUCAUUACAACCCUCAAGCCUUGCUUGGUGUUGGGUGCCACCUGUCAAAGGGUGCACCUCAAAAUCAGUGGCGGUGCGGCCUGGCUUCAAGCGUAGUAACUCUUCUCGCUCCGGAGCCCAGGCGGAAUACCUGCCAACAACCUCAAACACAUCAAAGGUUGACCUCGGAUCAGGUAGGGAUACCCGCUGAACUUAAGCAUAUCAAUAAGCGGAGGCU
rnacentral:misc_RNA from 1 species